UACAUUUGUCAGGGGAGAGUUUGACGGUACUGAAAUCACAAGUGUAGGAUUAGGAUACCGUAAACUAACAUAUAUCACAGUCAAAUCCAAGUUAUUGGUUAAAGUUCAGUUGAAUGCCGAGUGACGCUUUGAACAUAAUGGACACUCAUGUGAAAGCAGGACAAGUUUACCUUCAACACAGAAAUGUAGAAAAGAAGUGGAAGCAGCAUUGGCUGACUCUCUACCCCUCCAGCCGCUGCGGUGUAGCCAGGCUAGAGCGCCAGGAAGUGGGGGGAGGAGAGCGGGCCGGUCCCUCUGGGGUCUGGAAGCACCAGGACAAAGUUAAGGAGAAGAGGGUGAUCCGUCUGUCAGAGGUGAUCAGGGUCCUGAGGCUGCCCCCACACGCUGAGGCCUGCCCCAAAGACAACAUGGCCGCCUUCUGUGUGGAGACAGACGGCAGGAGGUUCGUCUUCGCAGCGGAUAAGGACGACUGUGUGGAGUGGGUGGAGAGGAUGUGUGACCUCGCCUUCCAGGGAGGCUCCACUGGUCAGCAGCCCCAAAUUCAGAUGGAGGACAACCAGAUCUACGUCUCCAGGGAGGAAGUUAGUGAGUUCAGGGUGGGUGUGAAGCAGACGGAUGUAGCGAUGCGCUGCGGCCUCCAGGGGGAGUACUAUUGGCUGCAAGUGGCCCAGGACGGGCUGGUCCUUAAGGAGGCGGAGACCAGGAAGAGUUUGCAGGACUGGCCCUAUCGGCUGAUACGACGCUAUGGCAGAGACAAGUUGACGUUCAACAUCGAGGCGGGCCGGCGCUGUGACUCUGGACCCGGAACCUUCACCUUUGAGACGUGCCAAGCUGACGUCAUCUUCAGCCUCAUCGAGACCGCCAUACGGGAACAGAAGGCCGUCGCCGGGGACGAAUGUGAGGGCGACACUGUGGUUGCUAACCGUAGCCCUAAUAUGCCUCGUGCUCGUUCACCACUGCCCAAACUACCAGAUAGCGCAGCCAUUUUGGAGGGCAGCUACAGUUUUAAGCCAGUAUUUUCAAAUGCUAUUGGCUCAGAGCAGUGUUUGUACUCACAGCCGCCUAAUUUGAUUGGCUCUGAGGAGUGUCCGUACUCUGAGCCAGCAGACAGUAUUAAACCCAAAGCCCCUAGCCUCAACUCCUAUCUGACGCCCCCAACAGCAUCCACCCUCACCCCCUCUAUCCCUCUACACCCCUGCAAUCACCAUGUCAACCGAACGGAACCAGUGUACGCCGACCCAGCAGACAUCCUCUCACUCACACCCCCGAAAUCUACACCACCACCACCCCCGCCCACUUCCUCUUCCUGCUCUUAUCACCACGACAACAAGCCAGAGCCGGUCUACUCCGAGGUGUACGACCGUGCGAGUCCCCUACCUGACAAGACUCAACAACAGAAACAGAGCCAGGACCAGCGGGGGCAGGAACCUGGCAAAGAGGAACCCAUCUAUAGUGCGCCUUGUGUGGGGACCCCAGCCAAGGGCCCCAACACUGACCCGUUCGCCCACCUUUACAGCCAGGUCUGCAAGCCAGGCUCUUCAUCACCAUCAUCAUCAUCAUCCCCCUCUUCCUCACUGGCCUCCUCUUCCUCCUCAUCAUCAUCGUCAUUGACCAUUACCAGGACCUUGGCCACCAGGAGGCCCACUGCUAGACGCCAGUCACCAGAGGUCAUCUAUGAAAACAUGGGGUUCAUUUAGGAUACUCUGCUGCGUCUGAAAUGGCACCCUAUUGCCCUUUAAGGUGCCCUACUUCUGAUCAGCGCCCAUAAGGAUAUAUUCAGACCAAUACACACAUUCACUCAUUUCACAAUGUUAUUGUCUACUUACUUUAUUUAUUGAACUUGUUUUCACAUACAGAAUCAUAGUUUUUUCUUAUGAUGUAAUAACUUUUGUAUAACGUGUUAUGAAUAUCAAUAUUGCCCACCAGUGUAAUGGACAUGGGAGAGGGAGAAAAGAGCCACAGAGAUCUUCCAGAAGUCUGUCAGUGGUCCAUGUAAAUGUUUUCAAACAGUGUUAGCCGCCUCCUCCCCAACAGAAACCAAUGACUUCCGCUCAGUCUCACAUCCUUUUCCUCAUGUACUUUGUUUUACUGAUGUGAUUCAAUAAAACAAUAAUGGGUGUGUAUCCAGUAACUCUCCUUCCACUCUUUGUUUUGUGCAUUGAUUGUUUUUUUUUGUGUUUUUUAAAUUGUGCCCCUCAAUAAAUCAGACUACUGUUCAGUUCAAUGCUGUUUAUAUAGGAAUAUGUGAACGUUAAUAGGCCUACUACUGUAUAUUUCAGGCUCCUCUGUGGUUGUGGGCGUGUAUUGACGUUUGGUUUAGAGAGAUUUGAACGCUUCCUGGUUUAACACAUUGUAAUAGUUCUAUUACAUACUGUACUGUACCUGACCUGGAGGCUAAGUAGCCUAUUAUACCGUGUUAGAAAUAGCACCAAAUCGGACACCGAAUAGGUAGGUGAGAAUAAAAAAAUACGCCGUAUUUUGAUACACUUCAACCGUACUUUUUUGUUUUGUUGGUUUCUGUAGGCGCUUCGUUCCCCCCUGUCCUCCACUUUUGACAGAACGCCCCGAGCGCACUUUUAAUGCUGCUUAACUGACGCGCGGUCAUCAACGGACAUUCUUCCUGAUGUCACUUCUCAACAUGCGGACCACCUGUUUUAUGGCCGUGAUCUUGUGGCUCACAACUGGUUCAACUCGUUGUCAAACACCAAUUCCAAAUGUUCACGGAGGGUUAGGUGCAGUUCUGGGGGUGUCCAACGCCAGCGUCCUCCUGCAAGACCCCAGCUCUGAGACACUCUACCUGGGAGCCAGAGGCUCCAUCCUGGCCCUGCACACCUCCAACCUCACCUGGAAACACUCAUCAAUUAAGUGGGAGGCAACAGAAGAGGAGAGGAAGUCCUGUAUGGGUAAAGUCAAGAGAGAGGAUGACUGUUAUAACUACAUCUGUCUGCUGGAGGUUCUGAAGGAUGGAAGGAUCUACGUCUGUGGCUCCUACGCCUACAAUCCCCAGUGUGCUUUCAUAGACCCAGUGACGUUUGUCCUAGUGAAGGAAGGUGGUGACAAAGUGAAGAUGGAGAAUGGGAAGGGGAAAUGUCCUUAUGAUCCCAGACAACCUCACACUGCUGUUACUGCAGGUAUUGGAGGAGUGGAGAGCCUAAUGGUGGUGCAGUGUAGAACUGUGUGGUGGUACCUUACUGGUCAUCAGGCCAAGGAGAAUGGUGGGACUAUCAGUGUUCAUUUCCACAGUUCUGGAUCUGUGAAAAAUGCUCUUUAUAGGUUGUUGAAGGAACUCUUUACUGUAUCUGAAGAAUGAUCAUAUAUGUUGGUAGAAUGGCUGUACAAACGAGAAGUUGGAGAGAAAGGCAUGUGCACACACACACACACACACACACACACACACACACACACACACACACACACACACACACACACACACACACAGGAUCAUGCACACACACAAAACAAAUUAGGAAUAUAUCACUCAAUAGCUGUUGUCAAUGUUAAAAUGUACAGUUCAUUAUGUCUCAUUUCUUGUAGACUGUACACAAAUCUCUCUCUCUCUAGCUCUUUUUAUUAGCAACAUGUCAUGUGACUUCCCAUGACAUUUUUUUCAUUAUCAAUUAUUAUAAAUAACUUUUAUAAUAAGAAGAACAAAGGCACAGAUUAAUAAAUAAAGGAACAAUGUCCUCUGAGUUCUAUCAGCUUCCUGAUUGAAUGUGAGUCACGGAGUGCGAGUCAUAAUGUCACUUCCUUAUGAACCAUGUCACAUAUAGUUAUUGCGAAAUAUGACGUCCUGAUUGAAAGUGAUUGGAUACUUAAAACAUUCUUUCAACUGCAGUCGACCACAGACAGACAACAGAGACACCAAUGGAGACGCAUAUCAGAGCAACUAAUCAACUACUAGUCACUGAAGUUAGAAUCAUACAGUAGAUAUUACCAUUAGGAGUCAGUUAGAAAGGUAAUCAUUAGUAAGAUAAUACUAUAAGUAAAAGUUAAAAUCAUAUAUACCACAAUAAAAGGUCAGACAGUCUGAAUUAGUUGAUUAAUUGAUUGAUUGGGGAAAUCAUUGAUAUUCGGUACGGUUAGUUAAGAUGGCCGACUACGUCAACAAACAGGUGAUUGAAUUAAAAGAAGUUAAUGAAGAAAACCGGAACGGAGCAACGAGGAGCGUGAAGACUGAGACUCAUCUCUCAGAUAGAAGACUAAGACUCUACAGGCUGGCUGCUGGGUGUUUAGGAGUGCUGUGUCUUCUACAAGUCACUCUCAACAUCUCCCUGAGACUGGCUUUCUAUAACAGAGGCAAUGUGACUGUAGAGAAAGACCUGCUACAGACCAGUUACAACACCCUGACUAAAGAGAGAGACCAGCUACAGAAGGAAAGAGAUGAUGUCAUGACAAAGUUCUCAAAUCUGAAACAAACCUGUCCUGAAGGCUGGCAGAUUAAGUUGGAAUCCAGUUGGUACUUCCUGUCUACUGAGACUAAAACCUGGAAGGAGAGCAGACAGGACUGUCUGAAGAGAGGAGCAGACCUGGUGAUCAUAAACAGUGAUUUGGAACAGGAGUUUCUCUUAAGCUUCAAUAAGAGAGCCUGGAUUGGUCUGACUGACUCUGUUACUGAGGGGGCCUGGAAAUGGGUGGACGGCACCCCACUGACCACCCCAAGUUACUGGUACUCACAGCAACCUGAUAAUGGUGGUGACAACCCAGAAAAUGGGGAGGAGGACUGUGUUGAACUGAACACAGAAACCUGGCGUCCUGUAAAGGCAUGGAAUGACCAGUCAUGUUUACACAAUCGUUACUGGAUUUGUGAGAAAGUGGUUUAACGUCACCAUUACAACAGAGGAGGCUGGUGGGAGGACGCGCACACAUACAGCACCUUACAGUGCACACAACUUCAUUCUCUCUCUCUAAGACACACACACACCAACCCACUGCUGGUACUGUACUGAGGGGCAAACAACCUGAUAAUGGUUGUGAACCAGGAUAUAUUGUAACAAGGACUGUGCUGAUGUUAAUAUUGGGUAUUCUGAGCCUGUAUAUAAAUAUUCUGACAUAUCAUUUACCUCUCAACAUAACUGGAUUUGUGAAGAGUUAUACAGUAGCUCAUUAUAUAGCAUUGCUACAGUGCUAAUGCAUCUCUCUCUAGGUAAACAGUGUGUAGACAUACUGUCAUCUGUAAAAUGCUUGUAUUCAUUGUUUAAAUAGAAACAUAUUAUGUGAUUUGCCAUAAUGUGAUUUUUUCAUAGUCAAUUAUUAGCAUAAACGACUUUAGUAAGAAGAUGAACUAAGGCUCAGAUUAAGUAAGAAAGGAACCUAUCAGGUGUCAAUUUACCAGCUUCCUGAUUGAAUGUGAUUUGAUUGUUAAAACAAUGUGACUUGCAGUUGGACACAGACAGAAGGCAGAACAGUACUGAGAGGAUACAUGCUGCACCUAGGCAGACACACACAGACAGAAGGCAGAACAGUACUGAGAGGAUACAUGCUGCACCUAGGCAGACACACACAGACAGAAGGCAGAACAGUACUGAGAGGAUACAUGCUGCACGCAGGCUGACACACACAGACAGAAGGCAGAACAGUACUGAGAGGAUACACGCUGUACGCAGGCAAACACACACAGACAGAAGGCAGAACAGUACUGAGAAGAUACAUGCUGCACGCAGACACACACACAGAGACACAGACACACUGAUGUCACACACAGACAGCAUAGAUAAAAGAAAAGGGCCCCUAUCGAUGGCAUAGAGAGAGAUAGAGUCACAAUGUAAACUCCAUUUGAAGGCUGGAGAAGCCACAAACAGAACAGUCAAAGUAAUAGGAUGAAAGGCUGCACUCUUCACUACUUGUUGUCAUGCAGCUAUCAUGUUAUAUCACUCUGUUUAGAAUAUCCUGUAAUGUAUAACUUCCUGAUUGAAGGUGAUUAUAUACUUUAAAAACUGUAGUGGACAACAGACAGAGAUCAGAGAGGUAACUGGUAGAGAUGCACAUCUGAGCAACUACUUAACUACUAGUCACUGAAGUUAGAAUCAUACAGUAGAUAUUAGCAUUAGGAGUCAGUUAGAAAGGUAAUCAUACAGUAGAUAUUACCAUUAGGAGUCAGUUAGAAAGGUAAUCAUACAGUAGAUAUUACCAUUAGGAGUCAGUUAGAAAGGUAAUCAUACAGUAGAUAUUACCAUUAGGAGUCAGUUAGAAAGGUAAUCAUAAGUAAGUUAAUACUAUAAGUAAAAGUUAAAAUCAUAUAUACUACAAUUACAGGUCAGACAGAAUUAAUUAGUUGAUUAAUUGAUUGUUUGGGGUCAUCAUUGAUAUCUGGUAUAGUUAGUUAAGAUGGCCGACUACAUCAACAAACAGGUGAUUGAAUUAAAAGAAGUUCAUGAAGAAAACCGGAACGGAGCAACGAGGAGCGUGAAGACUGAGACUCAUCUCUCAGGUACAAAGAAUAAUCUUUCUCUCUCUCACACACACACACACAGAUGCAGACAGGUAUGAACGCACAAACCGAACGCACACACGUAUUCUGGCACGUGCACACACACUAAUAGCACAUCAUAGAAAAGCGCUUGUUAAUUUUUUAUUGUUCUGUCUUCUCUGUGGUUCAGCUGGUACAGAGCCUGAGGUUUACAACCUGCUGGGGUCUCAUACACUAAAAUGCAUCAAUUCAAUAUUAUGUUUUACUUCAGUUGUUGGAACUAUGUACAACUAUUUAAUAAGAUCAAUUGAAAAUAAUAUUUUUAAACAACAACACAGUGGAUACCCCACCACUGUUUUUGGUAAACAGCUGAGGGGCUGGUAACCUGAAACAGGCUCUGUGCACCUGGUGACCUGCCCGCUUUUUCCGCUCAGAGAAAUGUUUUAAAAAAUGUAAGUUGCAGAAAUGUAACCACUCUCAAAUUCAUAGACAGAGCUGGUACUGUAUGUAAUUCAUAGACAGAACUACAAUAUAUAUGACUGGUACAGUAUGUAAUUCAUAGACAGAACUAUAUAUGUCUGGUACUGUAUGUAAUUCAUAGCUACUGUAUGUAUGUCUGGUACUGUAUGUAAUUCAUAGCUAUAGUAUGUACUCAAGGACUGUCCAUCCAUGAGAACAAAAUGAUUGUUUUACCCAUCUGAGGUUACACAGUGUUUGUUAACAGUUCUGUGGUAGAACAAGCUUAUAUUUUGGGUCCUGAUGGGGUUGGAAAGUUAAACUAAGCUCAUGAGGCAUUUAAAAGUUACAUUCAUGAAGAAUGAAUGGAUAAAUAUCAUACAUUUCAAAGUCCCAAAAAUGUAAGCAGCAAUUGCAGAUAUCCUCUUUAAGUCAUUGUCACGAAUCCCGCCGAAGAUGGUGCCUCUUCGUCGCCGGGCCUACUAGCUGCCACCGAUCCCCUUUUCUGUUUCAUUUAGUUGUGUCUGAUUUAGUUGUACCUGUUUGGUGUUGAGGUUUAGGUUUUGGGCUUUAAACCCGGUAGGCCCGCCGGCUUUUCUGCUUGUUUUUCUGUUUAUGGUGUGUGAAUAUUUUGUGGAUUUCAUUUUUCCGAACAGUUUCGUCCUUGUUUGUUGGACUGGGUUUUUAUGCGCCCUUGUGUGUGUGGCGUGACCGUCUCUCUGUUUUUUGGAAAUAAACAAUCCACAUCUUUGUACUA